rnacentral:rRNA from 1 species
AUACGGAGGAUGCGAGCGUUAUCCGGAUUUAUUGGGUUUAAAGGGUGCGUAGGCUGUGCGUUAAGUCAGGGGUGAAAUGCCGUCGCUCAACGACGGAGCUGCCCUUGAUACUGGCGUGCUGGAGUACGGAUGCCGUUGGAGGAAUGAGGGGGGUAGCGGUGAAAGGCUUAGAUAUCACUCAGAACACCGAUUACGAAGGCAUCUGACGAAUCCGUCACUGACGCUGAGGCACGAAAGCGUGGGGAUAGAACAGGAUUAGAUACCCUGGUAUUCCACGACGUAAACGAUGAUGACUAACCGUCGGCGAUAGACAGCCGGUGGCCAAGCGAAAGCGAUAAGUCAUCCACCUGGGGAGUACGUCGGCAACGAUGAAACUCAAAUGAAUUGGCGGGG